rnacentral:rRNA from 1 species
UGAGUACGAAAUGCUACGGCAUUGAAGCAGUCUAUGUCAUACUUCCUAGAAAAGCUUGCACUGUCAUAAACAAAUAAUGCCUGUACCAUAACCGACACAGGUGGGUAGGUAGAGUAUACUAAGGGGCGCGAGAUAACUCUCUCUAAGGAACUCGGCAAAAUGACUCCGUAACUUCGGGAGAAGGAGUGCCUUAUUUAUAAGGUUGCAAUAACAAGAUCCAAGCAACUGUUUAUCAAAAACACAGGUCUCCGCUAAGUCGUAAGACGAUGUAUGGGGGCUGACGCCUGCCCAGUGCCAGAAGGUUAAAGAAGUUGGUUAGCAUUCGCGAAGCUGAUAACUGAAGCCCUGGUGAACGGCGGCCGUAACAAAACGGUCCUAAGGUAGCGAAAUUCCUUGUCGGGUAAGUUCCGACCCGCACGAAAGGCGUAAUGAUUUGGAUACUGUCUCGAAGAGGGGCUCGGUGAAAUAGACUUGUCUGUGAAGAUGCGGACUACCUGCACCUGGACAGAAAGACCCUAUGAAGCUUUACUGUAACUUGAAAUUGAAAUUGGACUUUAUUUGCGCAGUAUAGGUGGGAGGCAUUGAAGAUAUUCUUGCGGGAAUAUUGGAGCCAUCAGUGAGAUACCACUCUUGUAAUGUUAGAUUUCUAACUUUGUAUCAUUAUCUGGUCAAAGAACAGUUUCAGGCGGGCAGUUUGACUGGGGCGGUCGCCUCCCAAAUGGUAACGGAGGCGCACAAAGGUUUCCUCUGAACGGGUAGAAAUCGUAUCUAGAGUGUAAAGGCAUAAGGAAGCUUGACUGUGAGACCUACAAGUCGAGCAGGGACGAAAGUCGGUCUUAGUGAUCUGACGGUGCUGAGUGGAAAGGCCGUCACUCAACGGAUAAAAGUUACUCUAGGAUAACAGGCUGAUCUCCCCCAAGAGUUCACAUCGACGGGGAGGUUUGGCACCUCGAUGUCGGCUCAUCGCAUCCUGGGGCGGUAGUACGUCCCAAGGGUUGGGCUGUUCGCCCAUGAAAGCGGUACGCGAGCUGGGUUCAGAACGUCGUGAGACAGUUCGGUCCAUAUCCGGUGUAGGCGUUAGAAUAUUGAGAGGAGCCUUCUUUAGUACGAGAGGACCGAGAAGGACAUACCUCUGGUGUACCAGUUAUUGUGCCAACGGUAAACGCUGGGUAGCUAUGUAUGGAGAGGAUAACCGCUGAAAGCAUCUAAGUGGGAAGCCCACCUCAAGAUAAG